AUUGGACAAUGGGGGGAACCCUGAUCCAGCAAUGCCGCGUGUGUGAAGAAGGCCUGAGGGUUGUAAAGCACUUUCAGUGGGGAGGAGGGCUUAGAGGUUAAGAGCUAUUAAGUUGGACGUUACCCACAGAAGAAGCACCGGCUAACUCCGUGCCAGCAGCCGCGGUAAUACGGAGGGUGCGAGCGUUAAUCGGAAUAACUGGGCGUAAAGGGUGCGUAGGUGGUUGAAUAAGUUAUAUGUGAAAUCCCUGGGCUCAACCUGGGCAGGUCAUAUAAUACUGUUUGACUCGAGUAUGGGAGAGGGUAGUGGAAUUUCCGGUGUAGCGGUGAAAUGCGUAGAGAUCGGAAGGAACACCAGUGGCGAAGGCGGCUACCUGGCCUAAUACUGACACUGAGGCACGAAAGCGUGGGGAGCAAACAG
rnacentral:rRNA from 1 species